AUUUUCUAAUGCUGCUCUGAAUUAAGUUUUUUCUUUAUUUUGUGAACUUUUUUUAGGAUGGUAAAGAUAUAGUCAAAACAUCUGUUGAGAACUUAGUCAAUCAAGAAUCACUGGACAAUAUGUACCAUUGUGUAUCUAUUGUGAGAGAUGGCCAAUAGUUUGCAUCCUAAUAUAACAGGUUAUGCUACGAGUAACUAAAAUAACUCCCAGUGAAAAUCAUCUUUCUUUUUUCUAAAGUGUCUCUGUUGGAAAUGUUUUGUGUGGA